rnacentral:tRNA from 1 species
CUUCUCCCGCUUGUGGGGGGGGGAAAGCGGGAGAAGCCCCGGCAGAAGUAACUCUGCUCUUUAAAAUUUGCAAUUUUACAUGCUAAACAUCACAGGGCU